GAAAAGCCGUCGUUACAGCAUUUAACUACAGGAAC
rnacentral:tRNA from 1 species